rnacentral:rRNA from 1 species
GGCCUGAACCGGCCAUAGGGAGAGUGCCAGGCGGGCAGUUUGACUGGGGCGGUCGCCUCCCAAAGAGUAACGGAGGCGCCCAAAGGUACGCUCAGAUUGGAUGGAAACCAAUCGACGAGUGCAAAUGCAGAAGCGUGCUUGACUGUGAGAGCAACAACUCGAACAGGGACGAAAGUCGGGAUUAGUGAUCCGGCGGUGCCGAAUGGAAGGGCCGUCGCUCAACGGAUAA